AGAGCGAACGCUGGCGGCAGGCCUAAUACAUGCAAGUCGAACGGAUCCUUCGGGAUUAGUGGCGGACGGGUGAGUAACACGUGGGAACGUGCCCUUUGGUUCGGAACAACUCAGGGAAACUUGAGCUAAUACCGAAUGUGCCCCCAUCCUUAAACAAGAUGGGUGGGAAAGAUUUAUCGCCAUUGGAGCGGCCCGCGUCUGAUUAGCUAGUUGGUGAGGUAAAGGCCCACCAAGGCUACGAUCAGUAGCUGGUCUGAGAGGAUGAUCAGCCACACUGGGACUGAGACACGGCCCAGACUCCUACGGGAGGCAGCAGUAGGGAAUCUUGCGCAAUGGGGGAAACCCUGACGCAGCAACGCCGCGUGGAGGAUGAAGCCCCUUGGGGCGUAAACUCCUUUCGAUCGGGAAGAUAAUGACGGUACCGGAAGAAGAAGCCCGGCUAACUUCGUGCCAGCAGCCGC
rnacentral:rRNA from 1 species